rnacentral:misc_RNA from 1 species
CAUUCUGGGGACUGUCUCUUGCUUUUUGGUGCUUGCUUGGCCUUUUGGCUGAGCUGGUGGCUUUUAGCCGAGCGGUCUUCGGGGAUGAUUUCCGUAAAGGUGCAUGAGUGGUGUUUGGUUUGUUACGGAUGGUUGGAUGUCUGCCUGCGCAGCAACUUCCAUGCGGGCUUACCUCUUCAAUUGUGCUACAAGCCUUGUUUGGCUUGCAGCAUUCGUUGGGUUUCUUGUGUUGCUUACCUAAUCGAUGGCAUUGUUUGUCCCUAUAAGUUGCCUUUUGUAACACGCUGCUUGCGGCGUGAUACAAACAAUGAAGCAACCUUUGUUGUUCAACCUGUUGCUGCUCAUGCAUCGAUAGCUUGGCCCAUGAAGUGUUGAUUGGUCCCUUGGAUAUGGAACAUGAUGUGGGCACAAGUUCGUCAAAGAUCUUGUAUUUGCCCUUAUCGAGUGAUUUAGCUUCUUUAAAUGACCGUCGUCCAUGUAUCGACAAGUCGGUGUAUGGAGGAUUGUGUCAAACAGGAAUGCUACCUGGUUGAUCCUGCCAGUAG